rnacentral:rRNA from 1 species
AACGAACGCUGGCGGCAUGCCUAAUACAUGCAAGUCGAACGAGACCUUCGGGAGCUUUCUCGUAUGGGUUCGUAACCCGACGGAUGCUUCACUCAUGGUUGGCCUAACUCCCCGAAAGGGAUGCCUAUAGGGGACAAUAUCUACUACCGAAUGAUUUAUCGCCUCUGGAUGGGCCCGCGUUGGAUUAGCUAUUUGGUAGGGUAAAAGCCUACCAAGGCGACGAUCCAUAGCUGGUCUGGGAGGAUGAUCAGCCACACUGGGAGUGGGACACGGCCCAGACUCCUACGGAAGGGGGCAAUGCGGAAUGUUGGACACUGGGCGAAAGCAUGAUCCAGCAAGGCCGGGUGAGUGAUGAAGGCCUUAGGGUUGUAAAGCUCAUUUAACCGGGAUGAUAGUGACGGUACCGGAAGAGUAAGCGCCGGCUAACUACGUG